GGAGGGUGCAAGCGUUAAUCGGAAUUACUGGGCGUAAAGCGCACGCAGGCGGUCUGUCAAGUCGGAUGUGAAAUCCCCGGGCUUAACCUGGGAACUGCAUUCGAAACUGGCAGGCUGGAGUCUUGUAGAGGGGGGUAGAAUUCCAGGUGUAGCGGUGAAAUGCGUAGAGAUCUGGAGGAAUACCGGUGGCGAAGGCGGCCCCCUGGGCAAAGACUGACGCUCAGGUGCGAAAGCGUGGGGAGCAAACAGGAUUAGAUACCCUGGUAGUCCACGCCGUAAACGAUGUCGACUUGGAGGUUGUUCCCUUGAGGAGUGGCUUCCGGAGCUAACGCGUUAAGUCGACCGCCUGGGGAGUACGGCCGCAAGGUUAAAACUCAAAUGAAUUGACGGGGGCCCGCACAAGCGGUGGAGCAUGUGGUUUAAUUCGAUGCAACGCGAAGAACCUUACCUACUCUUGACAUCCAGAGAACUUAGCAGAGAUGCUUUGGUGCCUUUGGGAACUCUGAGACAGGUGC
rnacentral:rRNA from 1 species